CUUUCCAGCAAACACAGUACGUUGUGACGACGUCGUCAGUUCGUCGUCCUUUGGUCAGCGCGACAUUACUUUAUGGCGACGUUGUGAGGACGUCGUGGCAAAGUUCCAUUUUUUAGAAUAUUGGCUAACGUUCCAGAAACGUCGUGGGCACGUCCUCAACAGACGUCGCUAGUUAGUCCCAUCGGGAACGUUGUGGCGACGUGGUCCCUUGGUCUCUAUAGUAUAGGUCUACCAGUAUUUUAUUUACAAUAUAUUUACAAUUGAUAAAUAUAAAAUGCUUACAAUUUAAAAUGUUAGAUAUUUAUUCGUCAAGACUGACAUUCCAUUUAUACAUGCUAGAGAGAUAUUCAAGGCUUUAGAAUGUUGGCUGACGUUCCAGAAACGUCGUGGGCUCGUCCUCUACAGACGUCGCUAUUUGGUCCCAUGGGGAACGUUGUAGGGACGUGAUCCCAUGGUCUCUAGCCAGCAUACACAGUAUGUUGUGAGGACGUCGCCGGUUGGUCGUCAUUUGGUCAGCGUGACAUUACUUGACAACGUCGUGAGGACGUCGUGGUAACGUUCCAUUUUUCAGAAUUUUGGCUAAGGUCCCAGAAACGUCCUGUGCACGUUCUCAAAAGACGUCGCUAGUUAGUCGCAUGGGAACGUUGUAGCGACGUGGUCAGCUGGUCUGCAGAUAACUUUUCAUAUUAUUGCACUACAUGUAUUUGGCCUAUCUUUUUAAGGUGUAUACCAUUUGGAUAGCCUAUAAUAAGGGAAAUAUACUGAAUUAAUCAAGCAUUUUGCAUGAUGGCAUGAAUUGUUAUAGAAAUAUAAUAAUUAUGCCGUCAUUUAAAAUGUAGAUAUAUAUGUGUCAUCAAAUUAAUGACAAAACAAAACCAAAUAGUUUGUUGGCAAAUAACAAUAAUUUAUGCUUGUGAAUGACAGAAGAAAUUUAUUGAGAAACGGCAUCGGACAAGUGAACAUUUAAACCAGCGCACGUCACUUUUUGAGUGCUGCGUAAGUGCGCGUGCCCGUCACUUUAACGGUCAACUUCCAGCAGACGGACACGAAGGAAAAGGUCCUGACUGCCAAUGAACCAGGCAAUGAUUCACAGGUGGAGAGAUAGUCUGGGCAGCGCCAAGCCAACAACUAUUAUGAUUAUGAGUAGGGAUGAUUAUCAGAACAGAAAUAACUGCAUAUCAUCCAAACCAUCUCCAAAUGAAUGGCUGCAAGGAUCCAGGAUCAUGAGAUAAUCCGUCAUGAAAACUGUUUCAUAGGAAUCAGCGAAUCCUGGGCCUGCCUGAUCAUUCUGUUGCCCUAGAUGUGAAGACACACUGGAACUGCAUUUCUCAUGGUUGAAAGAGUUGCGCAUCGAUAUCCAGACAUACAAGAAGCCUUCCUGGACCCACACGACAAAAUGCUCAGGAGGAGAGGCAGGAUUUUUUUGAGACUAUGGAGGAUAGCUGGACCUUGGUCUGCCUGGGGGAUCUGGGGCCAUGGUCUUGUGUAAGAAAUAAUGUACUGUACAGUUUAAAGUUAAAUUUGUCUAUCUGGUGCAAUUUGAGAGUUCAGUAUUAAGAGCUCCAACCCAUGCACAGUGUGUAAAUUUAACAAAAAAGAAAAUCUAUGCCAGGGUUCCUCAAAUCUUACCCAGGAGGGCCAAAAAGAAGCUGAAGAACUACUUA